rnacentral:rRNA from 1 species
UACGUAGGGGGCUAGCGUUGUCCGGAAUCAUUGGGCGUAAAGAGCGUGUAGGCGGCUUGGUAAGUCCGCUGUGAAAGUCCAGGGCUCAACCCUGGAAAGCCAGUGGAAACUGUCAAGCUAGAGUCCGGAAGAGGCGAGUGGAACUCCUGGUGUAGCGGUGAAAUGCGCAGAUAUCAGGAAGAACACCAAUGGCGAAGGCAGCUCGCUGGGACGGUACUGACGCUGAGGAGCGAAGCGUGGGGAGCAACA